GACGAACGCUGGCGGCGUGCUUAACACAUGCAAGUCGAACGGAAAGGCCCUGCUUUUGUGGGGUGCUCGAGUGGCGAACGGGUGAGUAACACGUGAGUAACCUGCCCUUGACUUUGGGAUAACUUCAGGAAACUGGGGCUAAUACCGGAUAGGAGCUCCUGCUGCAUGGUGGGGGUUGGAAAGUUUCGGCGGUUGGGGCUGGACUCGCGGCUUAUCAGCUUGUUGGUGGGGUAGUGGCUUACCAAGGCUUUGACGGGUAGCCGGCCUGAGAGGGUGACCGGGCACAUUGGGACUGAGAUACGGACCAGACUCCUACGGGAGGCAGCAGUGGGGAAUAUUGCACAAUGGGCGGAAGCCUGAUGAAGAAACGCCGCGUGCGGGAUGACGGCCUUCGGGUUGUAAACCGCUUUCGCCUGUGACGAAGCGUGAGUGACGGUAAUGGGUAAAGAAGCACCGGCUAACUACGUG
rnacentral:rRNA from 1 species